CCUACGGGCGGCAGCAGUGGGGAAUAUUGGACAAUGGGGGCAACCCUGAUCGAGCCAUGCCGCGUGUGUGAAGAAGGCCCUCGGGUUGUAAAGCACUUUCAGUGAGGAAGAACGCCUGGUGGUUAAUACCCAUCAGGAAAGACAUCACUCACAGAAGAAGCACCGGCUAACUCCGUGCCAGCAGCCGCGGUAAUACGGAGGGUGCGAGCGUUAAUCGGAAUUACUGGGCGUAAAGCGCGCGUAGGUGGCUUGAUAAGCCGGUUGUGAAAGCCCCGGGCUCAACCUGGGAACGGCAUCCGGAACUGUCAAGCUUGAGUGCAGGAGAGGAAGGUAGAAUUCCCGGUGUAGCGGUGAAAUGCGUAGAGAUCGGGAGGAAUACCAGUGGCGAAGGCGGCCUUCUGGACUGACACUGACAUUGAGGUGCGAAAGCGUGGGUAGCAAACAGGAUUAGAUACCCUUGUAGUC
rnacentral:rRNA from 1 species